GACCGGAAGUUGGUUGUGGAGGGCCGCAACUGCCGUCCAGGCUUAAGAGGGCUUCCGCGAUGCCUUUGUCCGGAGUAGUCAGUCAGCUCCUGGAACUGUGAGUCCGCCCCAGCUCCCAGUCCCUUCCCUCACGUCCUGCUGGCUCCUAGUCCUUGUCCCGGCUUUGUGUCUGGUCUCUGAGGACUGUGGUGCACCGUGGGGCUGGCGGCUCCACCCGAUGGCCUGUCUCAGGUGGGCGUUGAGGGUGAAGGCAGAACAAAAGAAACCUGGAGCCAGGCUGGACCAACAAACCUCCACUAAUACCGGCGUGACUCGCUAGCUUUGGGACCAUGAACAGUAACAAUCUCUCCCGAUUGUACAGGAGAGCUUUCUAAAAUUCGGAUAACAGUAGGGCGUGGCAGUUCACGCCUAUAAUCCCAGCUAUCCGGAAACUGAAACAGGAUUGCCACAAAUUCGAAGCUAACGGGGUAAUGUUGUAAUACACACGCAUACCCAAGCAAAUCGCGUAUUAGUACCUGUCUCAAGGAGUCUUUGUAAGAAUCAGCUUAACAUAUGUAAAGCCCUUAAUCCAAACACUUCUUGAGAAUUCAAGUUGAAGUUCAAGGCUCUUCAGCCAUAUAGUGAGUUAGAGGCAGGCUUUAGUAUUACUUGUUAUUUCUAUUUUUAGAAAGAAAAACUAUUAACAGAAAAGCAGGAAUGGUUUAACAAUUGGAAACUACAAAGACUACAUUGGUUCCGUUGUUGACUUAACAGUACAUAAACAAAUGUUAUUUCUUGCCUAAGUUCCAGCUUUUUCUUCUGUAUUGUUUUGUUGCUAUUUAUUUUUCCUUGAGACAGUCUCAUGUAGCCUAUGCUGGCCUAGAACACAUUGUGUGUGUAGCCAAGGAUAACUUUAAACUUCUGAUCCUUCUUCAUUCAUUUCCUGAAUGUUGAGAUUACAGACACACACUAUAUUAUUCCCAGUUUACCUCAGCCUCCUGAGCCCGAGGCAAGCAUAAUGCCAACUCAGUUAUAUCCCCAACCCUUUUGUUUUGAGACAGAAUCUUAUGUAGCACAGGCUGGCCUCAGACCCACAAUGUCAGGCUAACCUUGAACUCUUGAGUCUUCUGCCCCAGCCUUCCAAAUGCUGAGAUUAUAGACUUGAGUUAUCAGCACCAGCUUUGGCUUUGGCUUUUUGAGGACAGGGUCUCAUGUAGCAUAACAGGCUAGAAAUUCAUUGUGUGGCAAAGGAUGUCCCUGAACUUCAAGAUCCUUCUUGCUUGUACCCAUAGAGUUCUGGGAUUGCAAGUAUGCCACAAUUGUUUGUGUAGAUAGAACUUAAAGCUGACUUACCAGAAAGCAAUUUGACAAUAUUGUUACCAUACCACAGAACAAUAUGGAUGCUUUUCUAAAGGGAAAUAACUAAAUGAGAUGUCCAAUGUGAAGCUUAUAGCCAUUACAAAGGGUGAGAAUACUGAAAUGCUUUUAAGGUUUUCACAAGAGAUUGUUGAAUGAAAAGGACAGUAGGUACUGAGAAGUAACUAUUACCGGAAUGCUGUUUUAGGAAACUGACACCUCCCUUCUCAAUACCCUUCAAUACCUUUAUUAUAUGUUUGUGUGGGGAUGUGUAUGCAAGCACAAGGGAAGAAAGAAUGUGUGUGUGUUUGUAAACAGAAUUUGUGGUUGCUUGACACAGGUAUGAGUUUCUCAGAUGGCCAGAAUUUGAAGCCCUAAAACAUGUUGGUUACAUUGCUUUAAAAGAGGCUAAAGAAGACUCUACCUAUUCUGGUAUAUUGGCUGGUUUUGUGUGUCAACUUAACACAAGCUGGAGUUACCACAAAUAAAGUUCCUCAGUUGAGGAAUUGCCUCUAUGAGAUCCAGCUAUAAGGCAUUUUCUCAAUUAGUAAUCAAGGGAGAGGGCCCAGCCCAUUGAGUGGUGCCAUCUCUCUAGGCUGGUGGUCUUGGGGUCUAUAUGAAGGCAAGCUAAGCAAGCCAGGGGAAGCAGUCAAGUAAAGUGGCACUCCUCUAUAGCCUCUGCAUCAGCUCUUGCAUCCAGGUUCCUAUGUGAGUUCUAGUCUUGACUUUCUUUGGUGAUGAACAGCAAUGUCGAAGUGUAAGCAGAAUAAACCCUUUCCUCCCCACUGUGCUUCUUGGUCGUGAUGUUUCAUUGCAGCAGUAGAAACCCUGACUAAGACACCUACCUGGCUUGUUAGGUUUUGUGGUGCUAAGUAUCAAGUCCAGGGCCUUACAGAUACUAGAACUACUAAACUACAUUCCUAGCCACCACUUUGGUUAAGUGGCAUCUUUGUGUCUAGGAACCAAACAAACACAAGAUUAGCAAGAAAAACAAAACAAAAACCAAGUUUUCAUUAAUUUCUGCUUAUACUUUGGAACUUUUAAAAAAGUGUUGUUUUUUUUUGUUUUUGUUUUUGUUUUUGUAUUUUUCAGAGAAACGGCCAAACUAGAAAGCCUUAACAUUUCUGACAAAGAGCAAUAAUAUGUGAAGGAAUGGCAGGACAGGGCUGGGUAGUAAAUUCUAGAGCUGACAGUGAAAGCUGUAAGGAGGAUUAUGAAGUUUGUAUGACCCAAGGCAACCACACUGCCCAGGCUCUUGGAUUAAGGUUGUUUCUGAACAGUAUUCAAGGAAGUUUAGAGGAAUUUCUGUGGUUUACUAGUGCAGGAAAGAAUAAGUCAGAGAGCCCUUCCUGCAAGCUGCAUUUAUCCUGAACUAAUCAGUGUGCCAGAAUGAAGUCCUGAUUAAAUUGUCCUCAGUGCUUCAGGGUCUUAGUGGUUGUCUCUUCUGGUAAUUGCAUAUGCAGGUAAUUGAUUGUCCUCUCCAUAAAUCUGUAGUCAUUGCCCACAUAACUUAGAAAUAUAUAUUUUCAUGUGUGCAGGUAGGGUGCUCCGUAUGCAUACGUGUAUGUGCACAUAUAUACCUGAGGUCCAUGGUGGUCAGAAAAGGCCAUAAGAUCCCUGGAACUAGAAUUGCAGAUGGUUGUAAGCUGCCAUGUGGAUGCUGGGAAUCAAACUCAGAUCCUCUGGAAAAGCAGGGACCAGUGUGCUAUCUUCCCAGUCACUAGUUUUAGGGUUUUUUAGAGGCAGUCUCAUGUAGCACAGGUUAGUUUCCAACUCUCUGAGAAUAGCUGUGAACUCAUAAUCCCCUACUACUUCCCAGGUGCUGGGAUUAUAGGCAUAUACUACCAUGCCCUUCUUAAAAUAUUUUUUAAUAAAGCCAAGCAUGUUAGGAUACAUGACUGUUAUCCUCAAAUUCUAAAUGUAAAGCAGGAGGACUAGGAAUUCCAGGACAUCCUAGGCUACAGUGUAGUGAGUUGGAGAUGAGCCCAGGCUAUCUGAGACUGUUUCAAAGCAAAAUUUUAAAAUGUGUAUUGGUAAUGGGUUUACAGAGGGAAGUGGUAAAGGAAAAUUAUAUCAUAUAUAACUUUACAGAGGCAGUGAUUAUGAAUGUCAUCAAGCUAACUUUGUAAAUGUUAAUAAAAAUACUGUCUUAUGAAAGGACUAAGUGCUGACAAACAGUAUUGAUAUGUGUUAGCUACUAGUGCAGAUACAGAAUAAUUUACUGUAUUGUCUUUGUAUUCCAGAUGUCUUCAGUACCUAGUAAUCAAUAUUUCCAGAUAUAUAUCAGAUAUUAAAUAUUUGCCUUCCAACAUUAAAGAUAGACUAAUUAAAAUAAUGAGCAUUCGGGGUCGGAUAACAGAUUCCAAUAUAAGUGAGGUAAGAAUGUAUAAUUAUAAAAGUUUAUUUCACUGUUUAGACUUAGUUUUAGAUUUUUUUAAUGGAAAAAGAUAUAUAGUGUAAAUUAUUACUCAUUUUAAAAUAAGACUUUGACUUGAAAAGCCAGUGCUCAUCCUUGGAUGUAUACCAUCUUCUACUACCCUUUCUUGCUUUUCCUCUUCCCUCCCGUCUUCUCUCUACACUUAAUUAGAUUUUAAAACCUCUUUGUUGUUGUUAAUGCUUUUGAGACAGAAUCUCACUGCCCUGGAUGACCUUGAACUCACAGAGAUCUGCCAAUUUAGAAACUGGGCUGUUAUUUAUUGGCCUCAAGGAAACACUGAAUAGUAGCUCCCCAAAACAAUGAAUAUGUACUAACUGUCCCCAACACUUGGACAGUUAGACAUGGAAGAUUUUGUGUGUAAUUCUAUUACCCAGGAGUCAGAAGCAGGAGAUUUGUUGUGAGUUUCCAGCCAGCUUGAUCUACAUAGUGAGUACUAGGCAACUAUGGGUUAUAAGGUUAGACUUUGUCUCAAACAAAAGGUGGGGAUGAAGAGAUGGCUCAGCAGUUAAAAGUUCUUGCUACUUUUCCAGAGGAUCAGAGUUCAGUUCCCAGCAUCCACAUAAGGAGCCCUACAAAUGCCUUUAACUCUAGCCCCUAAGGAUCUAAUGCCAGGCUUCCUUAGUCACCCACAAUAUU
rnacentral:lncRNA from 1 species